GACGAACGCUGGCGGCGUGCUUAACACAUGCAAGUCGAACGGUGAAGCGCCUUCCUUUUUGGUGGGUGUGGAUGAGUGGCGAACGGGUGAGUAACACGUGAGUAACCUGCCCCCUUCUUCUGGAUAACCGCAUGAAAGUGUGGCUAAUACGGGAUAUUCUGGGUCUGUCGCAUGAUGGGUCUGGGAAAGAUAUUGUUUCGGUGGGGGAUGGGCUCGCGGCCUAUCAGCUUGUUGGUGGGGUGAUGGCCUACCAAGGCGGUGACGGGUAGCCGGCCUGAGAGGGUGGACGGUCACACUGGGAAUGAGACACGGCCCAGACUCCUACGGGAGGCAGCAGUGGGGAAUAGUGCACAAUGGGCGCAAGCCUGAUGCAGCGACGCCGCGUGAGGGAUGGAGGCCUUCGGGUUGUGAACCUCUUUCGCCAGUGAAGCAGGCCUGCCUCGUUUGUGGGUGGGUUGACGGUAGCUGGAUAAGAAGCGCUGGCUAACUACGUG
rnacentral:rRNA from 1 species